rnacentral:tRNA from 1 species
UUUAAAGGAUGGAAAGAGCUGCUAACUCUUUAAAAUUAACCUUUAUGUUUAUAA